GCCUGUUUAUCAAAAACAUGGCUUCUUGAUAUAAAUAUGAGGUCAGGCCUGCCCGAUGAUAAUUUGAAUGGCUGCGGUAUACUGACCGUGCAAAGGUAGCAUAAUCAUUAGUUUUUUUAUUGAAAGCUGGAAUGAAGGGUUUAACGAGAAAGAUGCUGUCUUGAUUUGAUUGUUUGAAUUUUAUGUUUGAGUGAGAAAGCUUAAAUGGGUUUGAGGGACGAGAAGACCCUAUAGAAUUUAAUAGUUUAGGUGUUCUGGGUUUUUGGUUUAUGAUGGCUAGGAUGUGCGAAGAUUAUUUUGUUGGGGUGAUAGGAAAAUUUAAUUAACUUUUUUUGUUUUUUAUCAUUAAUAAAUGAAUUUUUGAUCCAUUAGAAAUGAUUAUAAGAAUAAAUUACCUUAGGGAUAACAGCGUAAUUAAUCUGGAGAGUUCUAAUCGAUAGUUUAGUUUGCGACCUCGAUGUUGGAUUAAAAUUGGCUUUUGGUGAAGGGACUGAAGAGCUAAGUCUGUUCGACUUUUAAAAUUUUACAUGAUCUGAGUUCAGACCGG
rnacentral:rRNA from 1 species